GGAGCGGGGAGCGAGCCGGAGGUGCGAGGGGAUCCGGGGAGCAGGGGAGAGGCGGCGCCGCUCUGCCCCGGUGCCCCGCGCCGCUUCAGAGGGGCAUCCCCGGGCGCAGUCGCUCGUGGUCCAUCGCUCGCUUCGGCAGCGCGGAGGGUCCGGAGUGCGGCGCGGAUGCGGCGGCGGCGGCCGGGGACCCCCGCCGCGGGCAGGGCAGCGCACGCUGCGCGGCGCGGAGCGGAGCGGAGAAGCGGCGCGAUCCCGGCGAUCCCAGGAGAAGCUGCACGGAUCCACUCGGUCAGACCAGCUCUUCGGCUCGCUCCCUCGCUUGCUCUUUUAAACAAUAUCUCCCUUGUUGGUGGUUUGGGUUUUAUUAUUAUUAUUGUUAUUAUUAUUUUAAGUGUGAUUUUUGUUGUUGUUGCUGCUGCUGCUGCUCCAGUUAAUCUGUCUCCCUCUGCGUCUUUUUGAUCUUUCGCUCGCCUUGUGCUGGCUUGAACGCUGUGUUUUGUUUUGUUUGGGGUUUUUUGUUU